rnacentral:tRNA from 1 species
GCCGGAGUGACGGAAUUGGUAGACGUGCAGCACUCAAAAUGCUGUGUCCUAUGGGCGUGUGGGUUCGAGUCCCACCUCCGGCA